rnacentral:rRNA from 1 species
UACGGAGGGUGCAAGCGUUAUCCGGAAUUACUGGGUUUAAAGGGUGCGUAGGCGGCUAUGUAAGUCAGGAGUGAAAGUUUGCGGCUCAACCGUAAAAUUGCUUUUGAUACUGCAUGGCUAGAAUUAGGAUGAGGUCAGCGGAAUGUGGCAUGUAGCGGUGAAAUGCAUAGAUAUGCCAUAGAACACCAAUUGCGAAGGCAGCUGGCUAGACCUGGAUUGACGCUGAGGCACGAAAGCGUGGGGAGCGAACAGG